UUUUUAAUUAGAAUCUUGUAUGAAUGGUUAGAUAAAAGAAUCACUGUCUUUGUGUUUUAUAUUGAAUUUAACUUUUAAGUGAAAAGGCUUAAAUAAUUUAAGAAGACGAUAAGACCCUAUAAAACUUUACAUAGGUUUAAAUUUUGUUGAAUUUAUUAUAAUAAUUUAGUUUAUUAGUGUGUUUUAUUGGGGUGAUAAAAGUAAAAUGAUUAAUAACUGUUAUAAUAUUUAAACAUUUAUUAGUGGUUAUUAGUUGAUCCUUAUUUUAAGAUUAAUAGAGUAAGUUACUUUAGGGAUAACAGA
rnacentral:rRNA from 1 species